rnacentral:lncRNA from 1 species
ACAUGGCAUGAACUGAAGCUUAAUUUGCAAACAUAAGCACAUAUCCAUCAAUUCAAUUAUCACAAAUUUAUAUGUACAACCGACGCACGAAAUUAUUUAUUUACUUUUUAUAAGGCUGAUUCCAUUGGUUCAUUUUAAGUGGCAAAAGUUCUACUAUUAUUUCACAACAUAUUCCUACGUAGCAUGAGUUUAUGGGGAAAAAGCCCUUACCUUGGACGCUUUCCUUCCAAACACAAUACUCUAAGUCUAAAUUCAUAGCCAUAUAAUGCACAUGCGAUAUAUCUCACUCCAGAAUUCGCUUCGACGAUCUGACGGUUGAAGAGAAAGCACCAUGUAUUGCGAACAUGUUGAAAUUGGACAAAACGACAUGUGUUUGAAAAGGAUCGAUGGACUUUGAAUAAAUAUGAUGUUCAUGUGUUAGCAAAGCAAAUUAGAUAGUAAUGGUUGAGUAUGUCAUUUAGGCUGAACAUAGGAGUA